rnacentral:rRNA from 1 species
GAUGACGCUGACAGAAUGCUUAACACAUGCAAGUCGGUGGCGGACGGGUGAGUAAUGCGUCGGAACUUGCCUCCCAGCUAGGGACAACAUAUGGAAACGAAUGCUAAUACCUAAUACUGUGAGAGAGCUUUGCGUCCCAUUAGCUAGUUGGAGAGGUAACGGCUCACAAAGGCGCUGAUGGGUAGCCGGCCUGAGAGGGUGAUCGGACACAAGGGGACAGAGACACGGCCCAUACUCAUACGAGGGGCAGCAGGGGGGAAUAUUGCACUAUGGGGGCAAGCCUGAUGCAGCCAUGCCGCGUGUAUGAAGAAGGCCUUCGGGGUGUAAAGUACUUUCAGCGGGGAGGCGUUACCAGCAGAAGAAGCACCGGCAAACUCCGUGCCAGCAGCCGCGGUAAUA